rnacentral:lncRNA from 1 species
AAAAGAGGCCAACCCCAUAACAGAUCAAUAAUCUUUUUUAAUUAAGAACAGAUUACAAUAUAGAGCCUGCAGUUUGUUCACAUUAUGGCAGUUGCUCUCUGCUUGAAAAAUGUUAUAGCCACGAGCAUUCAGACAACCAGAUUGGAAGCUAAUGCCUCAUAACAUUUAACUAUGUCAAUAACACUACCUUGUAGGUAAACCUACAAUCACAAUAUAACUUGUGUAUUAGUGUAACAAGAAAUAAUAACAAUUAGAUUCCACCAUACAUUGUUGCAUUACAACUUGUCGCCCACCAUUUACUUUAAAGAUGAUAUAGAAAAUCAUUCAUUUCAUUUUCAUCUAAAUUACACAAUUAACCACCAGCAAUUUAUCAAAAGAGGAUCUUAUUUCAUGCUUGCAACUGUGACAGCAUGAAAAGAAACAUGCUAUUUUUCUCAUUAGUUGCGACCAACAUAUUGCAACUUCAUGCUGCUAUCCGAUCAAACUGCACCAUCACUUCUAGCUUCUGUAGCAGCUAGGUUCUCAGCUUCUGCACCAUCACUUCUAGCUUCUGUAGCAACCAGGUUCUCAGCUUCUGCACCCUCACCAGAAGAACUAGCCUCGGCAGCAAUUUCUUGAGCACUCACCUCUUCUUCAGGGACCGCUUGUUUAACAUCAUCAUUG